rnacentral:rRNA from 1 species
AUUGAACGCUGGCGGCAGGCCUAACACAUGCAAGUCGAGCGGAUGAAGGGAGCUUGCUCCUGGAUUCAGCGGCGGACGGGUGAGUAAUGCCUAGGAAUCUGCCUGGUAGUGGGGGAUAACGUCCGGAAGCGGGCGCUAAUACCGCAUACGUCCUGAGGGGGAAAGUGGGGGAUCUUCGGACCUCACGCUAUCAGAUGAGCCUAGGUCGGAUUAGCUAGUUGGUGGGGUAAAGGCCUACCAAGGCGACGAUCCGUAACUGGUCUGAGAGGAUGAUCAGUCACACUGGAACUGAGACACGGUCCAGACUCCUACGGGAGGCAGCAGUGGGGAAUAUUGGACAAUGGGCGAAAGCCUGAUCCAGCCAUGCCGCGUGUGUGAAGAAGGUCUUCGGAUUGUAAAGCACUUUAAGUUGGGAGGAAGGGCAGUAAGUUAAUACCUUGCUGUUUUGACGUUACCAACAGAAUAAGCACCGGCUAACUUCGUG